ACAUUUUCAGCAGCGCACAUUCUAAAAUUGGUUCGAUACAGAGAAGGUUAGCAUAGCCCCCGCGCAGGGUUGACACACAAUUCGUGAAGCAAACGACUACUAC